GCGCUGGCGGUGCAGCAUUGCUGCCCGGAAAGCAGAAGGUGCGGGUUCGAGUCCCGUCUGGCGCA
rnacentral:tRNA from 1 species